rnacentral:rRNA from 1 species
CCUUACGGCUCAGUAACACGUGGAUAACCUGCCCUUGGGUCCGGCAUAACCCCGGGAAACUGGGGAUAAUUCCGGAUAACGCAUAUAUGCUGGAAUGCUUUAUGCGUCAAAUGGAUUCGUCUGCCCAAGGAUGGAUCUGCGGCCUAUCAGGUAGUAGUGGGUGUAAUGUACCUACUAGCCAACAACGGGUACGGGUUGUGAGAGCAAGAGCCCGGAGAUGGAUUCUGAGACAUGAAUCCAGGCCCUACGGGGCGCAGCAGGCGCGAAAACUUUACAAUGCGGGAAACCGUGAUAAGGGGACACCGAGUGCUAGCAUCAUAUGCUGGCUGUCCGGGUGUGUAAAAUACACCUGUUAGCAAGGGCCGGGCAAGACCGGUGCCAGCCGCCGCGGUAACACCGGCGGCCCGAGUGGUGAUCGUGAUUAUUGGGUCUAAAAGGUCCGUAGCCGGUUUGGUCAGUCCUCCGGGAAAUCUGACAGCUCAACUGUUAGGCUUUCGGGGGAUACUGCCAGACUUGGAACCGGGAGAGGUAAGAGGUACUACAGGGGUAGGAGUGAAAUCUUGUAAUCCCUGUGGGACCACCUGUGGCGAAGGCGUCUUACCAGAACGGGUUCGACGGUGAGGGACGAAAGCUGGGGGCACGAACCGGAUUAGAUACCCGGGUAGUCCCAGCCGUAAACGAUGCUCGCUAGGUGUCAGGCAUGGCGCGACCGUGUCUGGUGCCGCAGGGAAGCCGUGAAGCGAGCCACCUGGGAAGUACGGCCGCAAGGCUGAAACUUAAAGGAAUUGGCGGGGGAGCAC